UAGGGAUAGUUUGAGUUCUUCUUUUUCUAUUUGUAUUCAUUUACUUUCUUUCUUUUCUGUCUAAUUGCUCUGGCUAGAGUUUCCAGAACCAUGUUGAAUAGAAGUGGUGAAAGAGGGCAUCCCUGUCUUGUUCCAGUUUUCAGAGGGAAUGCUUUCAGUUUUUCUCCAUUUAGAAUGAUUCUGGCCUUGGAUUUAGCUUUUACCAUGUUGAGAUAUGUUCCUCCUAUCCCGAGUUUUUCUAGUGUUCUGAAUGUGAAGGGGUGCUGUAUUUUGUCAAAUGCUUUUUCUGCAUAUAUUGAGAUAUUAUAUCAUUCUUAUUUUUAAGUCUAUUGAUGUGAUGGAUUACAUUUACUGAUUUCUGUGUAUUGAACCAACCUUGCAUUCUUGGAAUGAACCCCACUUGAUCAUGGUGCAAUAUCUUUUUAAUAUGUUUCUGUAUGUGAUUUGCCAGUAUUUUAUUAUGAAUUUUUGCAUCUAUAUUCAUCAGGGAUAUUGGUCUGAAGUUUUCUUUCCUUGAUGUGUCUUUGCCUUGUUUUGGUGUCAGGAGGACACUAGCUUCCUAGAAUUUGUUUGGAAGGGUUCCCUCCUUUUCUAUUUCAUGGAAUCAUUUUAAGAGGGUUGGUGUUAGUUCUUCUGUGAAGGUCUGGUAGAACUCAGCUGAGAAUCCAUCUGGUCCUGGGCUUUUCUUUCUUGGUAAGCUUUUGAUGGUUUCUUCAAUUUCAUUGCUUGAAAUUGAUCUUUUUAAAAUUUCUAUGUCUUCCUGAUUCAAUUUGAGUCUGUCAUAUGUUUCUAGAAAUUUGUCUAUGUCUUCAAGAUUUUCUAUUUUAUUAGAGUAUAAAUUUUCAAAAUAGGUUCUGUUGGUCAUCUGUAUAUAGGUAGUGUCUAUUGUGAUAUUUCUUUUUCAUUGCGAAUUUCAGUAAUUUGCAUUUUCUCUCUUUCUCUUCAUAAGAGUGGCUAAGCAUGUUGCAACAUAUGACUAAAUUAGUCAGGGUCACUCUAGGUAAAUUGGGUUGGCACUGAAUAGAGAAAACACAGAGACAGAGAAAAUACCUUUUUCUUGGGGUUCACUGAUGGCUCCUUGGCCCCAGCUCACACAAGGGAAGCAAGAGAGGUGACAAAAGAGAGUGAGAGCAACCUGAAGCCCUAUUUAUUGAGGGGAAGACACUUAAGAAAAUUACACCCAAAUGUGGCAAGGGACUGGUGUUUCAGUCUCAUUGGGUGAUGCCCACUCCCAGAGCUUCAAUCUCCUGCCGAGUGAAGGUGAGGUCCACCUGCUCUCAUGCUGCAAGUGGAAGCCAGUCCCACACCUCCGUCCCUUAAGUCUAAGGGUCCAUGCAUGCUUACUCCUAUGUGGCAGCUCCUGACAUAAGCGUUUAUCAAUUUUAUUGAUUCUUUUCAAGGAACCAACUUUUUGUUUUGUUGAUUUUUUGGAUUGCUUCUUUUGUUUCAAUUUCAUUGACUUCAGCUUGAUUUUAAUUAUAUUCUGUCUUCUACUGCUUUUGGUGUUGAUUUGUUCUUCUUUUUCUAGGCCUUUGAGAUGUAGUCUUAGUUUAUUUAUUUGUUGACUUUCUAUUUUUUUAAUGAAUGAGCUCAAUGCAAUGAACUUUCCUCUUAGACUGUCUUCAUAGCAUCCUGCAGAUUUUGAUAUGUUGUAUUUCUAUUCUCAUUUACCUCUAAGUAUUUUUUUUAAAAUUUCAUCCCUGAUUUUUUCUGCUAUCCAUUUGCCAUUCAAUAGCAUAUAAUUUAGUCUUCAGGUGAUAGAGUGGCUUCUAUUUUUUAUUGUAUCAUUGAUUUCUAAUUUUAUUCCUUACAAUCUGAUAGGAUGCAAGAUAUUGUUUAUUUAUUUAUUUUUAUUUAUUUUCUAAGACUUGCUUUAUGGAUAAGAUAUGGUCUAUUUUAGAGAAGGUUCCAUGUGCUGCUGAGAAGAAAGUGUAUUCAGUAAUUUCAAAAUCUCUGUCUCUUUAUUGAAGUAAUUUUUUACUUCCUCUUUUUUCUCUUUGAUUUCACUUCCUAUACUACCCUUUACUUAACAGAUCAGUCUGAUUCUGUGCAUUCUACACUCCUUCUCUGAUAUUACUUCCACUGUAGUGUCAAUGGAUUCUGUUAUUGGAGUACCUUGGUUGUUUGGGGUGAUUUGCUCUCUUGCCUUGUAGGGCAUGAUGUAACAUGGGGCAUGUUGCAUCAGAAAAGAGGAAACUUAACUUGCUGGCUGCUACCCGCUUCCCAGUCCUGGGGCCACAUAUGGCUAAGAGAGCACCUAGCGAUUAGCCAGAGGCAUUGCCGUGGGUUAUGAUGAAGAAUCGGACCACCUCUAGGAUAGGCUCAGAACCCCUCUGCCCUCACAUACAUUACUGCCUGUAGGAUGGGUGUAGAUGUAAAUUCUCCCCAUCCUGCUGACCUUCAUCCUGAUUGACUCCUGUACAUUAUAUUAGCUGUGUAUGUUUUCUCAUUAAACGAGAUCCUGCUUUGACAGUUCUCCCUGGCACCUCUGAUUGUCCUCCAUGGAGGGAGGGCUGGGUGUGGGCGGCCAGUAGACCUUUACCUUUCUUGGCCUGUCCUGGUUGGGGCAUGCUCCCCCAAUCUCUCCCACAGGUCUGGAGGGAAGGGGGGAGGCUAAAAACCCCGACAUCUGGGGCCCCACGCGGGACACGAAGAACUCAGUUUAUCAAGAGUGAGAGUAUCAAGCGAGUUUUCCGAGGUAAGGGUAUCCCUGGAAAGAUGGGGCAAUCUCACACUAGGCAUAAUGACCCAGCUCUUAUGCUCAAAAGCCGAGGUUUAGAGAUCUUGGAUGUGCAGGCCAAAAAGGUCUGGGAAACCUUGACACUUGUGGGGUCCUGGUAGAUGGCUGACGGGGAGGAGGAGGGAGAGGUUUGCCAGAGGGAGCCAGGCCGGCCUGUGGGAGCCCCAGGUGUUUCUUCUCGUGGCCUGCUGCAGGCCCCACUGGCGCCUGGGCGUCUGCAUCCCCCGUUCUGUCCCACUCCACCCCUGGGCUUUGGGCCACCUGGGACCGCACAGAACAGUUGGUGAGGAAGAGGGAAGUUAACCUGGGAGAGGACCCCCCUCUGAGGGACUGCCUGUUUCUCUCCUGGCCCCUCAAGACCCUUUUAUCUGCCCUCAAAACACCUACUCCUCCUACCACCAAUCCUUGGCCUGGUCCCCUAAAUUCCACACUAACUUCCCCUGUCCCGGAACACUUGGUAGACAGGAUGGGGAAUGGCCUCCGCCAUAUUGUCAUCCCUCCCCCUCACAGAAAUUCUCCGCCCUCUUACAAAAAAAACCAAACAAACAAACAAAAAAAACACCUCAAAAAAAGACCAUCUCAGAGGAUGGGCCUAAUUCGCCCUGGGCUGAAACCAUCUUCCAGGGUCUGGAAAGAUCAAACUCCACCUAAGAUGCCCUGCCCCCAGUGUAAAAAGGGAUUUCAUUUGGCAAAAGGAUUAUAAGUCCAAAUUUGAUAUUGGGGGGAAGCCUUUAAACUAGUAAUGGGGUGCCCUCCAGCCCCGUCACCCAAAGGAGGCGCCCCGCCUAGACACCGGCCUAGGGCCCACUGGCCCAGGCCAGGGCGAGCUGAGCCAGGCCUGGUGGGUGCUGUGUGGGCGGGGCCAAGCAGAGUCCCAGGCUGCCACUGCUUGAGCCAGAGCUCUGACCUGCCCGCCCGACCUGGAGGCACAGUCUCAUAGGCUCUUGCUCCCUGUGCGGCCCAGUGGCAGCUUGGUGGCAGCUCGAGUCCGGGACACUCCCCCAAGGCCAUCUGAGGUUGCCGGGGGGAUGGCGAUAGGGAGAGAGAAUGGCCUUCCAGCGCCACCUGAGAAAAACAGCUUCCUUCAAAUUGGCAAAAUAAUAAAAUGAAAAAUUUGAACAUUUUAGCUUUGGGUGGAAGCAUAAAAAUUUGCCAGCAAGGAGCCAGUGGGGACUCAGAGGGCUACCAAGGAUCUUGCCACCUUCCUCGAGAGGGUGGAAAAGAGCCUCCAAAGGAAAUUCCCCCCAGGGGCCCCUUCAGGAUUGGCCCUGCUUUAUACAAAAAAAAAGGGGGGGGACUACACGCCAUUCUCAUGCCUCCUGAGCUUUAUAAAUGCAGGGUUAGCAACAUCUCAAAUCCAUAGCAGCUGAUAUCCAGAACUCCAAUUUAGCUAUCCUUACAUCUGACAUCCUUACAUCUUACAUCCUUACAUCUGACAAUGGUUCUCCCACACCUGGAGGCUAAUGGAUAGAUAUGUUAAUGAGCACCAUUGAGGCCUAUUUCAAAUGUAAAAAUACCCUGAGGCUUACUUGUGGGAAUACCUUCAAACCCAUAUGUAAGUUACAGGAAGAAGGAUGGGAUAUCAGAAGCAGAGUCAAACCCAGGUGGUAGCCAGGAUGCUUUUUUCAAUAUCUAUUUUAAGUAGAUUUUGCCUUAUGCUCUUCCCAAAACCACACAUAUACUCCAAAGCUGGCACACCAAAAUGGUUUUUCUGCUAUUAUGCCCUCUCCCACAUCAUGGAGUUCUGUUUUAUUUUUUGAGCUCAUGAUUUUGAUCCUACAGACCUAGGUUAAUGUUUUUCUGAUCAGUUCUAUUUUUUGAUCAACUGUGGAGUUUUUAAACAUUGCAAUGGAGAUUUCACCUGUGAAAAGCUACAAGGCCUUUACUAUUGUGUUAUAUGUGCACACUUGUGUUAUGCGUUGAAUGUCUGUAUGUGUGUAUGUCCAUAUGUCAUACCCAUGAUAGAAAAUUGGCAGAUAUAUGAGGAGCACUCAUGAAAAAUUUUAAAAAAUGGAUGCAAAUAUCUUUUAUUCAUGUGAUUUAAACAGUUCAAUUUAAAUUGGGUAAACAGAUGAAAGUAAAGAUGUAUUUAAAAUUAAGCUUACAAGUUUUUCUAGGUGUUCAAAAAAAACUAAUAAAAUGUUGAGGUCUAUGAAAUAAUCUACCUAAAUUCAGAAAUUUACAAAGAUUGUUUCAAAAUGUGAACAAAAAAUGGAGGUUAACAGAUGGAAAGAAGAAAUUAGAAGAUUCUAGAUAUAAAACUCAUAUUUAAUAGAAGAAAAAAAAGUGUUCCUAAAUAAAGAAAAUCUUUAUGUGAUAAAUAAGAGUUUAAGUAAGUGAUAAAGAAGGUCUAUGUAAGUUUGUUCUUACAAUCAGUCAUAUGUUAAAAGGACAAAGAUUUCUUAAAACAUUAGUUUACCCAUAACAUUGUGUUUUAUUAAGUUUUGUUUCUUGUUUCUAGAGCAAGUAAUCUUUAAAAAAAAAUUAAACAGCUGGUUAAACAAGAACUGUUAUUUUAGAGAAUUGUGCUGUGUUAUUUCUUUAAAAGCUAAAUUUGGUUAAUAUAAAAACAUCAGUGUAAUUGUGGUGCUAUUAAUGUGUUCAUAUCUUCCAGGUAUACAAGUCUGUAAGGUAGAAGCUUUAAAAGAGCAUUAUAUCAAGCGGGUGUUCUAAAGUUGUACGGUAAUUUUAGGCUUAAGAGAAAAACAUAUUGGAGAUUUAUUUAUAUCAUUGAUGUUCUAUAACUGGACCUGUUAUCAAUAGGAUGUGUAAAGUUUUAUGUUACUUUUUACACUGAGGUAUGAUUUUUUAAUUGUAAAAAUGAAAAGACCAUUCUGGACACUUUGCCUGGUUGUGACCAGACUCCUCAUUGUCUCCCUCAUGGCAUUCAUCGUGGCCACGGGGAUGGGAACUGGACUUGCUGGCCUCUAUACUUCUUUACAGAUGUGCAAUAAGCUUUCUCAGCAGAUGAUAGAUGGUAUGCACCACGUGCCAACACUAUCUUAGACCUGCAAUCUCAACUCAUUCCUUGGCUACAGUAGUACUCCAAAACCAUCGUGGCCUGGACCUACUUACCGCUUGAGAAGGGGAACUAUGCCUGCUCCUACAGGAGGAGUGCUGCUUCUAUGCCAAUCGCUCUGGUAUCAUCCAAGACGAGAUCAAGAGACUACAAGAAGACCUUAAAACCUGUUGGAAUGAACUGCAAUCUAGCUUUCUAUGGACUGGGCUAAAAUGGUGGGUGGCUCCCUUAUCGAGCCAGAGCUGUUCAACUGAUGGUUGUCUGGCAGCAACAAGAUACUGACAAGAUAUCUUACAAGAUACUGACUGGGAACCCUAUGAGGUUGGUCAUGGCCCCUACCAGGACAUACAGGUGUAAGCCGGGAGCAGAAAGGUUUCCUUCAUAGGUGAUAGACAUUUCCCGUCCUUAAAGCUUCCCAUUGGGUCUGCCAACCCUGCCUGAAGAGCCAGAGUGGUAGUCAAUGACAGGUAAGAUCCCCAGAGGGGGACAACCUAAGACAGGCACACUCUCGAGUAAGGCAAACACCUGCUAAUAAAACAAAACGAGGGAGAUGUAGGGCAUGAUGUAACGUGGGGCAUGUUGCAUCAGAAAAGAGGAAACUUAACUUGCUGGCUGCUACCCGCUUCCCAGUCCUGGAGCCACAUGUGGCUAAGAGAGCACCUAGCGAUUAGCCAGAGGCAUUGCCGUGGGUUGCGAUGAAGAAUCAGACCACCUCUAGGAUAGGCUCAGAACUCCUCUGCCCUCACAUACAUUAUUGCCUGUAGGGUGGGUGUAGAUGUAAAUUCUCCCCAUCCUGCUGACCUUUAUCCUGAUUGACUCCUGUACAUUAUAUUAGCUGUGUAUGUUUUCUCAUUAAACGAGAUCCUGCUUUGACAGUUCUCCCUGGCGCAUCUGAUUGUCCUCCAGGGAGGGAGGGCUAGGUGUGGGCAGGCGGCGAGUCGACCUUUACCUUUCUUGGCCUGUCCUGGUUCGGGGCGUGCUCCCCCAAUCUCUCCUGCAGGUCAGGAGGGAAGGUGGGGGCGGGCUAAAAAAC
rnacentral:lncRNA from 1 species